GUGCUUGCUUCAGCAGUACAUAUACUAAACCUGGAACAAUACUGAGAAGAUUAGCAAGGCCCCUGUGCAAGGAUGACAUGCAAAUUCAUAAAGCCUUCCAUAUUUUU
rnacentral:snRNA from 1 species